GGCUGAGUGCACGGAGCGCACCGCAAAUUCCUUCACCCGAGCCGCGAAGGAAAGUAGCAACUUUAACACCGGCUGCUUCCAAUAAUUCCGGAUUGGGACGUGUACGGAAAUUGAAUAGAGCCGCCUGCUUCCAAUAAUUCCGGAGGUGUUCGGGAAUAGAGGUAAGUAUUGAACAAUUUGUUAUUAAGUGUAAUUAUUUUUUUUUAAAUUGAUCCGC